UAAAACGUAGGAGGCGAGCGUUAUCCGGAUUUACUGGGCGUAAAGCGCAUGCAGGCGGCUUCGUGAGUCGGAUGUGAAAGCUCCUAGCUUAACUGGGAGAGGCCAUUCGAUACUGCGGAGCUUGAGGUUGGAAGAGGGGUGCGGAAUUCCCGGUGUAGUGGUGGAAUGCGUAGAUAUCGGGAGGAACACCUGUGGCGAAAGCGGCACCCUGGUCCACACCUGACGCUGAGAUGCGAAAGCGUGGGGAGCAAACAGG
rnacentral:rRNA from 1 species